UACAGAGGGUGCAAGCGUUAAUCGGAAUUACUGGGCGUAAAGCGUGCGUAGACGGUUAUGUAAGUCAGGUGUGAAAGCCCCGGGCUCAACCUGGGAAUUGCAUUUGAGACUGCAUAGCUAGGGUGCGGAAGAGGGAAGCGGAAUUUCCGGUGUAGCGGUGAAAUGCGUAGAUAUCGGAAGGAACACCAGUGGCGAAAGCGACUUCCUGGUCCAAUACUGACGUUCAUGUGCGAAAGCGUGGGGAGCAAACAGG
rnacentral:rRNA from 1 species